CUUGACAUUAAAUUCAGGUGCCGCUUCACUCUGCUACUGAAGGAUCAGGCUGACUGCAACUGCUAUGGAUGGCAGGAAAACACAGUACACGUGAAUUUCUAGAUGAAGAGUGAAUAAAUGCACUUGCUUAACUGAUAACAAGUUGUCAAUGGUUAUUUAUGCAAGCUUGUGUAGCCUAAACAAGACAUACCUAGGCCU